rnacentral:rRNA from 1 species
GACGAACGCUGGCGGCGUGCUUAACACAUGCAAGUCGAACGGAAAGGCCCUGCUUUUGUGGGGUGCUCGAGUGGCGAACGGGUGAGUAACACGUGGGUAACCUGCCCUUGACUUUGGGAUAACUUCAGGAAACUGGGGCUAAUACCGGAUAGGAGCUCCUGCUGCAUGGUGGGGGUUGGAAAGUUUCGGCGGUUGGGGAUGGACUCGCGGCUUAUCAGCUUGUUGGUGGGGUAGUGGCUUACCAAGGCUUUGACGGGUAGCCGGCCUGAGAGGGUGACCGGCCACAUUGGGACUGAGAUACGGCCCAGACUCCUACGGGAGGCAGCAGUGGGGAAUAUUGCACAGUGAGCGGAAGCCUGAUGCAGCAACGCCGCGUGCGGGAUGACGGCCUUCGGGUUGUAAACCGCUUUCGCCUGUGACGAAGCGUGAGUGACGGUAAUGGGUAAAGAAGCACCGGCUAACUACGUG